UGAGGACAGGAAUUAAUACACAGGAGGCGAGUGGGUGAGAGUGAGAAGCAAAUAGCAGCAGAUGAAGGGAGGACCUGGAGUCAAGCAGACAAUUAGCAGAAAGUCUGCAGAGAAGAGAUAUAAAAAUAAUUAGGGCCUGAAAUGAAGACAGUACACAGGAUUCUCUGAUUUUGUCCACCUGCUUUGUGUGUCAACACCACAUAUCCAGGUGACAAAACUCGACAUGCAAUCCCAUCGUGACCCAGGCCGACUUAAGUGAAGGACACUAAAGACUGCACUGGAAAUCUCUGUGAUUGCUUCCCUCAGGGAAAAAGAAUACUGUAAUUUUUUUGUGUUUUAGAUUUUGCCUCAAGUUGUGAAUAAAGCGACUUUUGAUCAA